AUUGAACGCUGGCGGCAGGCCUAACACAUGCAAGUCGAGCGGAAACGAGUUAUCUGAACCUUCGGGGGACGAUAACGGCGUCGAGCGGCGGACGGGUGAGUAAUGCCUAGGAAAUUGCCCUGAUGUGGGGGAUAACCAUUGGAAACGAUGGCUAAUACCGCAUAAUGCCUUCGGGCCAAAGAGGGGGACCUUCGGGCCUCUCGCGUCAGGAUAUGCCUAGGUGGGAUUAGCUAGUUGGUGAGGUAAAGGCUCACCAAGGCGACGAUCCCUAGCUGGUCUGAGAGGAUGAUCAGCCACACUGGAACUGAGACACGGUCCAGACUCCUACGGGAGGCAGCAGUGGGGAAUAUUGCACAAUGGGCGCAAGCCUGAUGCAGCCAUGCCGCGUGUGUGAAGAAGGCCUUCGGGUUGUAAAGCACUUUCAGUCGUGAGGAAGGCGGUACAGUUAAUAGCUGUAUUGUUUGACGUUAGCGACAGAAGAAGCACCGGCUAACUCCGUGCCAGCAGCCGCGGUAAUACGGAGGGUGCGAGCGUUAAUCGGAAUUACUGGGCGUAAAGCGCAUGCAGGUGGUUUGUUAAGUCAGAUGUGAAAGCCCGGGGCUCAACCUCGGAAUAGCAUUUGAAACUGGCAGACUAGGGUACUGUAGAGGGGGGUAGAAUUUCA
rnacentral:rRNA from 1 species